AUAAAAACGUUAGGUCAAGGUGUAACUAAUGAAGUGGAAAGUAAUGGGCUACAUUUUCUUCACAAAGAACAUAACGAAAUUUAUUAUGAAAUUUAAUAAACAAAGGAGGAUUUAGUAGUAAACUGAGAAUAGAGUGCUCAGUUGAAUAGAGCAAUGAAGCACGCACACACCGCCCGUCACCCUCCUCAAAUAAAUAAAAUGACAAAAUAACAUAUCAUAUUCAAAGACAUAAAUUUUUAGAGGAGAUAAGUCGUAACAAGGUAAGCAUACUGGAAAGUGUGCUUG
rnacentral:rRNA from 1 species